UACGGAGGGGGCUAGCGUUGUUCGGAAUUACUGGGCGUAAAGCGCGCGUAGGCGGGCUGUUAAGUCGGGGGUGAAAUCCCGGGGCUCAACCCCGGAACUGCCUUCGAUACUGGCAGCCUAGAGGAAGGCAGAGGCUAGUGGAAUGGCGAGUGUAGAGGUGAAAUUCGUAGAUAUUCGCCGGAACACCAGUGGCGAAGGCGACUGGCUGGGCCUAUUAUGACGCUGAGGUGCGAAAGCGUCGGGAGCAAACAGG
rnacentral:rRNA from 1 species